AUCUUCAGGGCGAGGCGAAAUUCCUCACUGGCGGUAAUGCAGGUAGGCAAUCUCGUGAUUGCUUGCUGUACAGCCCGCGACCCUGCUAAAAGGUUACUUUUGAGCAGGCUGAUCUGGUGCAACACCAGAGCCAACGGUUACAGUCCGGAUGGAAGAAGAUG
rnacentral:ncRNA from 1 species